CCGUUAUUUUCGGACCAGGCCUGGACAGUGUGUAUGGCUCUUUGGAGUAGACUGGUUAUUGAUUGGAGUUCCUUUCCUUUUAUGUAGAGGAUGAGAUCGUCAGCAAAGAGGCCACCUUUUACAGGGUGGUUUACAUCCUUGAGAAUAUCAUUGAUUGCUAUGAGAAAGAGAGUCACACUAAGGACGGAGCCCUGAGGGAUGCCGUUUUAUACCAUACAAGUCUCCGGUUUAUCAUUUUCUCCAUGAGUUUACACAUUGUGCAAAUUGGAAUAAUAAUAGCUUCUGACCAGAGCUCAGGAAAGGAAUGGCCAGUCCAGAUGUCGUUGUAAAGAUUUAGGAGGAUAACUUUUCCGGUGCAAGGAAGAUUUUGGAGAAAGAUGAAAGGUAUGUCAUCUGGACCUGCAGCAGAAUUGGGACAAGCUUGAAGUGCAUUCUCUAGUUCUUCCAGGGAAAAAAUAUUGUUGAGUGGGUGGACUGAAUCGAUUUGGGGGGGCGCAAAAGACGAUUCCACUUGGUUUUUGUGGGAUAAAAAGGCGGGGGUGCAGUUUGCAUUGCUUGAGGCCGUCUCGAAUUUUUGUGCAAGAAGAUUUGCUAUGCCUUGAUUGUCAUCAAUAACAGAACCGUGAGAAAUUAUCUGCGCAGGACCCGGUUGAUAAGUAUUACCCUUAAUACGUUUAAUUCUGUCCCAUACUACCUUGGUAGGAGUAUUGCUGUGAAGGGUGGAAACAAAGCUCAUCCAGGAGUUUUGUUUGGCUCUUUUGAUGAUAAGACGUGUUUGUGCACGGAGUUUUUUGAAUUCAAUAAAAGAGUCUUGUGAUUUUUUACGUUUCCAAACAUUGAAGGCUCUUUUGCUUUUUCGCAAUGCUUCUGCACAUUCUACGUUCCACCAAGGGACAGUUUUUCUUGGUAUUAAUUUGGUCUUUCCAAUAUGGUUAUGAGCGGCACUGACUAUAAGGUGAUUGAGUUGAGAUAGAACACUCUCUGGACUCAUGUUAGUAUUUAACGACCCUAAAUUUUGAUCGAUUUCAGCUUGAUA